rnacentral:rRNA from 1 species
CGUGUUACAAUGGUUACUACAAUGGGCUGCCAUCUGGCAACAGAGAGCAAAUCCAUAAAGGUAAUCCCAGUUCGGAUCGGAGUCUGCAACUCGACUCUGUGAAGUUGGAUUCGCUAGUAAUCGUAUAUCAGCAAUGAUACGGUGAAUACGUUCCCGGGCCUUGUACACACCGCCCGUCAAGCCAUGGAAGUUGGGAGUACCUGAAGUCCGUUUCCGCAAGGAUCGGCCUAGGGUAAAAUCGAUAACUAGGGCUAAGUCGUAACAAGGUAGCCGUACCGGAAGGUNNNNNNNNNNUACACUGAUA